rnacentral:rRNA from 1 species
AAUGAACGUUGGCGGCGUGGAUUAGGCAUGCAAGUCGUACGCACAGCUUCGGCUGUGAGUGGCGCAAGGGUGAGUAAUGCGAAGGUAACCAACCCUGGUGUUGGGCAUAACCGCGGGAAACUGCGGGUAAUUCCCAGCGACGUCGCGAGAUGGCAUCAUCUUGCGACCAAAGGUGUGAUUCCGCUCUAGGACGGGCCUUCGUGGUAUUAGGUAGUUGGUGAGGUAACGGCUCACCAAGCCGACGAUGCCUACCGGGUGUGAGAGCAUGACCCGGCACACUGGAACUGAGACACUGUCCAGACACCUACGGGUGGCUGCAGUCGAGAAUCUUCGGCAAUGGGCGAAAGCCUGACCGAGCGACGCCGCGUGAGGGAAGAAGGCCUUCGGUUGUAAACCUCUUUCGUAGAGGAGGAAGGGGCCGUGCAGAGCGGUCUUUGACCUAUUCUAGGAAGAAGCUUGGGCUAAGUUCGUGCCAGCAGCCGCGGUAAU